rnacentral:rRNA from 1 species
CACGUAGGGCGCAAGCGUUGUCCGGAAUUAUUGGGCGUAAAGAGCUCGUAGGCGGUCUGUUGCGUCUGCUGUGAAAACCCGGGGCUUAACCCCUGGCUUGCAGUGGAUACGGACAGACUAGAGGUAGGUAGGGGAGAAUGGAAUUCCCGGUGUAGCGGUGAAAUGCGCAGAUAUCGGGAGGAACACCGGUGGCGAAGGCGGCGUUCUGGACUGCAACUGACACUGAAAAACGAAAGCCAGGGGAGCAAACGGG